rnacentral:rRNA from 1 species
AGUGAACGCUGGCGGUAGGCCUAACACAUGCAAGUCGAACGGCAGCACAGUAAGAGCUUGCUCUUACGGGUGGCGAGUGGGGGACGGGUGAGGAAUACAUCGGACUCUACUUUUUCGUGGGGGAUAUCGUAGGGAAACUUACGCUAAUACCGCAUACGACCUACGGGUGUAAGCAGGGGAUAUUCGGACCUUGCGCGAUUGAAUGAGCCGAUUUCGGAUUAGCUAGUUGGCGGGGUAAAGGCCCACCAAGGCGACGGUCCGUAGCCGGUCGGAGAGGAUGGUCAGCCACACUGGAACUGAGACACGGUCCAGACUCCUACGGGAGGCAGCAGUGGGGAAUAGUGGACAAUGGGCGCAAGCCUGAUCCAACCAUACCGCGUGUGUGAAGAAAGCCUUCGGGUUGUAAAGCCCUUUUGUUGGGAAAGAAAAGCAGCAGGUUAAUACCCCGCUGUUCUGACGGUACCCAAAGAAUAAGCACCGGCUAACUUCGUG